CCCUUAGAUGUUCUGGGCCGCACGCGCGCUACACUGACGAAUGCAACGAGCUUAUAACCUUGGCCGAAAGGUCUGGGUAAUCUCCAAAUUUCGUCGUGAUGGGGAUAGAUUAUUGCAAUUAUUAAUCUUCAACGAGGAAUGCCUAGUAAGCGCAAGUCAUCAGCUUGCGUUGAUUACGUCCCUGCCCUUUGUACACACCGCCCGUCGCUCCUACCGAUUGAAUGGUCCGGUGAAGCCUCGGGAUUGUGGUUCUUGCCGCUUUAUUGUGGCGUGACCGCGAGAACUUGUCUAAACCUUAUCAUCUAGAGGAAGGUGAANUCGUAACA
rnacentral:rRNA from 1 species